CCAGCUAAAGGAAAGAGACAAACAGGUGGAGGAUGUCAACAAUGAAAAUGCUGAACUGGCUCAACAGAUAUGUGAUGUGAAGACUGAGGUAGAGAGACUGAGAAGAGAGAUCUCAGCCCAGAUGACUGAACAUGGAGAGACGUCAGAUACAGGUUCCAUCCUCCCAGUCAGGAGGAGAGACAGCAUC